UACGUAGGGGGCUAGCGUUGUCCGGAAUCAUUGGGCGUAAAGCGCGUGUAGGCGGUCCGGUAAGUCCGCUGUGAAAGUCGGGGGCUCAACCCUCGGAUGCCGGUGGAUACUGUCGGGCUUGAGUACGGAAGAGGCGAGUGGAAUUCCCGGUGUAGCGGUGAAAUGCGCAGAUAUCGGGAGGAACACCAAUGGCGAAGGCAGCUCGCUGGGACGGUACUGACGCUGAGGCGCGAAAGCGUGGGGAGCAAACAGG
rnacentral:rRNA from 1 species